rnacentral:rRNA from 1 species
CAGCAGCCACGGUAAUACGUAGGGUGCAAGCGUUAAUCGGAAUUACUGGGCGUAAAGCGUGCGCAGGCGGUUCGCUAAGACAGAUGUGAAAUCCCCGGGCUUAACCUGGAACUGCAUUUGUGACUGGCGGGCUAGAGUAUGGCAGAGGGGGGUAGAAUUCCACGUGUAGCAGUGAAAUGCGUAGAGAUGUGGAGGAAUACCGAUGGCGAAGGCAGCCCCCUGGGCCAAUACUGACGCUCAUGCACGAAAGCGUGGGGAGCAAACAGGAUUAGAGACCCCAGUAGUCCCUGUCUCUUAUACA